AUUGAACGCUGGCGGCAGGCCUAACACAUGCAAGUCGAACGAGUGGCGGACGGGUGAGUAAUGUCUGGGACACUGCCCGAUGGAGGGGGAUAACUACUGGAAACGGUAGCUAAUACCGCAUCCCAUCGGCUGUGCCCAGAUGAGAUUAGCUAGUAGGUGGGGGAACGGCUCACCUAGGCGACGCUCCCUAGCUGGUCUGAGAGGAUGACCAGCCACACUGGAACGGAGACACGGUCCAGACUCCUACGUGAGGCAGCAGGGGGGAAUAUUGCACAAUGGGCGCAGGCCUGCUGCAGCCAUGCCGCGUGUAUGAAGAAGGCCUUCGGGUUGUAAAGUACUUUCAGCGAGGAGGCGUUACUCGCAGAAGAAGCACCGGCUAACUCCGUGCCAGCCGCCGCGGUAAUUC
rnacentral:rRNA from 1 species